rnacentral:rRNA from 1 species
CCUACGGGAGGCAGCAGUGGGGAAUAUUGGGCAAUGGAGGCAACUCUGACCCAGCAAUGCCGCGUGAGUGAUGAAGGUAAUUUUAUUGUAAAGCUCUUUUCUUUGGAACGAAUAAAUGACGGUACCAAAGGAAUAAGCCCCGGCUAACUACGUGCCAGCAGCCGCGGUAAUACGUAGGGGGCAAGCGUUGUUCGGAAUGACUGGGCGUAAAGGGUGCGUAGGCGGGCUGUUAAGUCAGCGGGAAAAGCCCGGGGCUCAACCCCGGCGAGCCGUUGAAACUGGCUGUCUUGAGAUGUCGAGAGGUAUGCGGAAUGCGCAGUGUAGCGGUGAAAUGCUUAGAUAUUGCGCAGAACUCCGAUUGCGAAGGCAGCAUACCGGCGGCGAUCUGACGCUGAGGCACGAAAGCGUGGGUAUCGAACAGGAUUAGAUACCCGGGUAGUC